UUGGCAUAAGUUUGUGAAAGCCGG
rnacentral:miRNA from 1 species